rnacentral:lncRNA from 1 species
UGAUAUCGAUAGGUUAAGGUCAUUCAUGAGGAGAGGUGUUGGGGCGGAGUCCCAGGUGUAGCUACUAUUGCCCUAUCAAUUCUGUAGUCACCUCUUUCUGAACAUUGGUUAGUUCUUCACGAGCGAUACUAUACUCUUGCUGCCUCUUAGUAUUCUCCGUUUAUUCUAAUAAGUGUAUGUGGACACACGCAGACAGUAACGGAACAAGCACAACAGUUCUCUUUGUGUUUUAGUGGGUAUAUGUGGAUGUACAGAAAGUGGUCUCUGUUUAUUAACGGGUUACAUGUUGCUGCAAUGAAAAUGUAUAUGGUGAUUUUCAUUCUGGUUUGCAGGGUAGUACAUGGAGCAUAGAAACUGAGUCGAAAGUCUGUCUUUUGUGCAGGAAUUUACUGCAGGUCUGAUCCCUUGCUCGUGCUCUCUGCUUGUCCUCACUCUGUAGACCUUUCCUUUGCUCGUAGCCAUACAUUUUAUUCAGAGUGCUGUCAAGACGCAUCUCCUCUGCCUAUAUGGCGGGCAGAGGGCCUAAGCUCUAGGUGAGCUCCUCCUCCACCCUACAAAUGUUGUAUUUGUUAUGAUGUUUCCAUUGUUAAUGUCUGCAAUCUAAUGCCUUGCUCUGCUAUUUUUAUUUCUAAUCUCAACAUACUCUGUACAGUGAUGAGUAUACCAUUUAACAUGUGCAUGAUGUUAAAAUUGUGUGAAUCUAAGGGCCUACAUGCUUCAUAAUCUGUAGCCAAGUUAUUUUAGGACUUUUUAUUUUGUGUGUGCGAGGAGAAAUUGUACUAUCUCUUCAUGAUUCAUCGUUUAUAUAUUAGUUGGAUAGUAUCUCUUUAUUCGGUUCUUGUGACUGACCUGCUGCUUUACUUAUAUGGACAGCUUAAACUGAAAUCAAUGCAUGGUAUUGUUCAAUUCGAAGUGUACUUGACGUGUGCAGAUCUGAGGAUAAAGGGAAGAAGACGGAAUUUAGCUGAGGAGUUGAAUAGGAUCAAGGUUAUUAUUCCACAAUCAUUUGUUGGGUUUAAGGAUAUAAACAACAUGGCUUACGAGGAUUUGGACUGCUGUUCUUUUAGUUCCACUCUUAAAUCUUUUGGUUCUUGAAGGCCUGCACUUUCCUGGUGGAGUAAGAGCAAAAUAAUUCAGAGGCUUUAAAGCUGCUGCACUUUAGUAGUUAGGAUUAAUUCUUUGUUUUGGUUUGAAAUGCUCCCCAAUUCCUCUUAUUUGAUUGAUUCAUCUGAUGGUCAUUUGUCAGGCAAAUAAACAGAAGGCAUAUGUAUUGUUUUGAGUGAAGCCAUCCAUACAAGGCAAUAUAUUAAUUAUCCCAUAUGUGGAAUUCAAGAUAGAGAGAAAUGUUAUUGUUCUUCUGCUAAUUGGUUGCUUGACAAAUGUACUAUAAAUGAUGUUAUUAUUGUACGAGAUAUAGAGAAAUGUUAUUGUUCUUCAAUUAUUGAGAUGAUAGAAGUACUACUUAGCAGUUUUGUCUCUGACCGAACGAAGCUCUCGAGUAAGAAGGGAUGAAUAAGUGAUGGGUCAAACUGGCUGCCAUACGAAUGCUUUGAAAUAUGGCACAUAAGUACUUUCUUUUUCAAACACACAGAA